rnacentral:rRNA from 1 species
GACGAACGCUGGCGGCGUGCCUAAUACAUGCAAGUCGAGCGAGCGAAACUAACAGAUUUACUUCGGUAAUGACGUUAGGAAAGCGAGCGGCGGAUGGGUGAGUAACACGUGGGGAACCUGCCCCAUAGUCUGGGAUACCACUUGGAAACAGGUGCUAAUACCGGAUAAGAAAGCAGAUCGCAUGAUCAGCUUUUAAAAGGCGGCGUAAGCUGUCGCUAUGGGAUGGCCCCGCGGUGCAUUAGCUAGUUGGUAAGGUAAAGGCUUACCAAGGCGAUGAUGCAUAGCCGAGUUGAGAGACUGAUCGGCCACAUUGGGACUGAGACACGGCCCAAACGCCUACGGGAGGCAGCAGUAGGGAAUCUUCCACAAUGGACGCAAGUCUGAUGGAGCAACGCCGCGUGAGUGAAGAAGGUUUUCGGAUCGUAAAGCUCUGUUGUUGGUGAAGAAGGAUAGAGGUAGUAACUGGCCUUUAUUUGACGGUAAUCAACCAGAAAGUCACGGCUAACUACGUG